UCAGGACGAACGCUGGCGGCAUGCCUAACACAUGCAAGUCGAACGGAGCAGUCCUUCGGGGACUACUUAGUGGCGAACGGGUGAGUAACGCGUGAGCAACCUGCCUCGGCGAGGGGGAUAACACUUGGAAACAGGUGCUAAUACCGCAUAAGACCACACUGUCGCAUGACAGAGGGGUCAAAGGAGCAAUCCGCGCUGAGAGGGGCUCGCGUCCCAUUAGGUAGAUGGCGGGAUAACAGCCCACCAUGCCGACGAUGGGUAGCCGAGCUGAGAGGCUGAUCGGCCACACUGGAACUGAGACACGGUCCAGACUCCUACGGGAGGCAGCAGUGGGGAAUAUUGGGCAAUGGGCGAAAGCCCUGACCCAGCAAUGCCGCGUGAGGGAAGAAGGUCUUCGGAUUGUAAACCUCUGUCCUUGGUGACGAAGGAAGUGACGGUAGCCAAGGAGGAAGCCCCGGCUAACUACGUGCCAGCCGCUGC
rnacentral:rRNA from 1 species